rnacentral:tRNA from 1 species
AUUCAUAUAGUUUAACUUAAAACAUUUUAUUUUCAUUAAAAAAAAGAAAUUUAUAUAUUCUGUGAAUA